GAUGAACGCUAGCGACAGGCUUAACACAUGCAAGUCGAGGGGCAGCACAGGUAGCAAUACCGGGUGGCGACCGGCGCACGGGUGAGUAACACGUAUCCAACCUUCCGGUUACUCGGGGAUAGCCUUUCGAAAGAAAGAUUAAUACCCGAUAGUAUAAAUUUUUCCGCAUGGUUUGUUUAUUAAAGAUUCAUCGGUAACCGAUGGGGAUGCGUUCCAUUAGAUAGUAGGCGGGGUAACGGCCCACCUAGUCGACGAUGGAUAGGGGUUCUGAGAGGAAGGUCCCCCACAUUGGAACUGAGACACGGUCCAAACUCCUACGGGAGGCAGCAGUGAGGAAUAUUGGUCAAUGGGCGAGAGCCUGAACCAGCCAAGUAGCGUGAAGGAUGACUGCCCUAAUGGGUUGUAAAACUUCUUUUAAUACGGGAAUAAACACGCGGCACGUGUGCCGCUCUGCAUGUACCGUAUGAAUAAGCAUCGGCU
rnacentral:rRNA from 1 species